GAGUUUGAUCCUGGCUCAGAUUGAACGCUGGCGGCAUGCUUUACACAUGCAAGUCGAACGGCAGCGCGGGCUUCGGCCUGGCGGCGAGUGGCGAACGGGUGAGUAAUAUAUCGGAACGUACCCAGGAGUGGGGGAUAACGUAGCGAAAGUUACGCUAAUACCGCAUACGUCCUAAGGGAGAAAGCAGGGGAUCGCAAGACCUUGUGCUCAUGGAGCGGCCGAUAUCUGAUUAGCUAGUUGGUGGGGUAAAGGCCCACCAAGGCAACGAUCAGUAGCUGGUCUGAGAGGACGACCAGCCACACUGGAACUGAGACACGGUCCAGACUCCUACGGGAGGCAGCAGUGGAGAAUUUUGGACAAUGGGGGCAACCCUGAUCCAGCAAUGCCGCGUGAGUGAAGAAGGCCUUC
rnacentral:rRNA from 1 species